rnacentral:rRNA from 1 species
AUGUCUAAGUAUAAGCAAUUAUACCGUGAAACUGCGAAUGGCUCAUUAAAUCAGUUAUCGUUUAUUUGAUAGUACCUUACUACUUGGAUAACCGUGGUAAUUCUAGAGCUAAUACAUGCUGAAAACCCCAACUUCGGGAGGGGUGUAUUUAUUAGAUAAAAAACCAACGCCCUUCGGGGCUUCUUGGUAAUUCAUGAUAACUUCACGGAUCGCAUGGCCUUGCGCCGGCGACGGUUCAUUCAAAUUUCUGCCCUAUCAACUUUCGAGGGUAAGGUAUUGGCUUACCAUGGUUUCAACGGGUAACGGGGAAUUAGGGUUCGGUUCCGGAGAGGGAGCCUGAGAAACGGCUACCACAUCCAAGGAAGGCAGCAGGCGCGCAAAUUACCCAAUCCCGACACGGGGAGGUAGUGACAAUAAAUACUGAUACAGGGCUCUUUUGGGUCUUGUAAUUGGAAUGAGUACAAUUUAAACCUCUUAACGAGGAACAAUUGGAGGGCAAGUCUGG